rnacentral:pre_miRNA from 1 species
AAAAAGACAAACUCUGGGUUUCCGUGUCCACCUUUAACUAUCCGUCUUAUAUGAAUUUUUUUUAUAAUUCGUAUUUUCAUUGUUGUUAGAUAAUAAAACAUGAUUAAUAUUUUAUACGUGACUUGUCUUUUUAAUUUUAUUCAUAAUUUUUUCAAAUAAGACGGACGGUCAAUCGUUGGGCACGGAAACCAAUGUUUGUCUUUUUU